UACGAAGGGGGCUAGCGUUGUUCGGAAUUACUGGGCGUAAAGCGAGUGUAGGCGGGCCGUUAAGUCGGGGGUGAAAGCCCAGAGCUCAACUCUGGAAUUGCCUUCGAUACUGGCGGCCUGGAGCAUGAUAGAGGCGAGUGGAAUUGUGAGUGUAGAGGUGAAAUUCGUAGAUAUUCGCAGGAACACCAGUGGCGAAGGCGACUCGCUGGAUCAUUGCUGACACUGAGACGCGAAAGCGUGGGGAGCAAUCAGG
rnacentral:rRNA from 1 species